rnacentral:tmRNA from 1 species
GGGGCUGAUUCUGGAUUCGACGGGAUUUGCGAAACCCAAGGUGCAUGCCGAGGGGCGGUUGGCCUCGUAAAAAGCCGCAAAAAAAUAGUCGCAAACGACGAAACCUACGCUUUAGCAGCUUAAUAACCUGCUUAGAGCCCUCUCUCCCUAGCCUCCGCUCUUAGGACGGGGAUCAAGAGAGGUCAAACCCAAAAGAGAUCGCGUGGAUGCCCUGCCUGGGGUUGAAGCGUUAAAACUAAUCAGGCUAGUCUGGUAGUGGCGUGUCCGUCCGCAGGUGCCAGGCGAAUGUAAAGACUGACUAAGCAUGUAGUACCGAGGAUGUAGGAAUUUCGGACGCGGGUUCAACUCCCGCCAGC